AGGGUUGGCCACCUUGAGAAGCUGCGAAGAUGGCGGAGUAAGGCGUGCCGCUGCAAACUGGCCUCUGGGCCGGGGGCGAGCAGCCCCCGGGAGGCCGAGUGCAUCUGUUGGACCGUGCGAGGAGAAGAAAAAAAAUAUCGGCCAGAGGAGAGGAACUAACCGAACAUUCUUCCUCCCUACCUUAUAGAGGGGAGUGGUCAUCUACACUAAAGCAAAGUGUUAGGCGCGUCCGUGCGAAGAGACCACCAAACAGGCUUUGUGUUCCUUAUCACAGGAAGAAAAUUUUCCUUGACCUUUAGGUGCUUUUAUAUUCAUCUCAAAAACAAAAUUCUGAACUCAGGACUUGGCAAGUGUCUCUAUGUUGUCUCCUAGAGUGGGUAGUCCUGCUUCUUUUACCCAGUUACUUUCCCGUUUUUGAAAUGUGGCUAUCACUUCUCUACACAUUACCUCCAUGAUUUGGAAUGGAAAAGGCCACUUUUCUUUUUGUUCUGCCUCUCAAAUUCAACACAGAGGAGCUCCUAGGAUUCCAGUUAUCCUGCUAACAUCUCCAGGAAGAAAGAAGCAACUCACAUGGGUCUUUUGCUGUUUGCUUAAUUAUAAAGACAUCAUUUUGCAAGCAGAAGGCUGAGUUUCAUUUGAAACAGGUCCAUGAAUGCUGUGAUGCUGGGAACUUAGGGAAGAUUCACCAAAAUUUGAGAGUGAUAAAAAUGGCCUAAAAUGGGAAAUGUCUCACUCUGUCGCCCAGGCUGGAGUGAAGCAAUGUGAUCUCAGCUCACUGCAACCUCCACCUCCCGAGUAGCUGGGAUUACAGACAUGCACCACCACCCUCAGCUAAUUUUUGUAUUUUUAGUAGAGACGGGGUUUCGCCAUGUUGGCCAGGCUGGUCUUUAACUCCUGGCCUUACGUGAUCCGCCCCCCCUUAGCCUUCCAAAGUGCUGGGAUUACAGGUGUGAGCCACUGCACCUGGCCUGUAGUAGCUUAAAAUUUUCCUUGAGAAAAUUCCUGACUUUAAAAAUAACCCUUAUAUAAGUACAAGUGAUUGUGACAAAUGACGUAAAAAUGGCAUUCAUGAUGUCUGAAACAAGCCUAAAUAGAAUUCAAGAUUAGACUAAAUGAUUUUCACAAAGCACAUUCAAGGUUUUACAUUCUAUGAUUGAAAAAAAUUUUUUGAAAACUUUUUAUUUCAUUCUUUCCUGUAGGAUUUUGCUACAAAUAACUUUGGGAAUGAAUAAAGUGGAAUGGUAACUUUCCAGUGGUUCAGAAUUGAAUUAGACUUCUUGUGACUGUGAUGUUUGGUUUCCAUUGAAAUAUAUGAAGUGAGAUGUCAUAUCCUGAAUAUAGUUUGUCUUCCCCAAUUACUUGAUAGCAUGUCUGUCAGCCAGUAAAGAUUAAGAACAGAGUUUCUCUAAAUUCCUCCGAUUAUUCCACUAAGGCACAUUAAAAUACUUAAUUUUGGGAAACCAGACAUCACAGAUUUCUCCAUGAAGUCCUAAAUCUUCUUUAAAGUCAGAAUAGGUAUCUUAGUUACUGACAGUAUUCAGGUUUUUUUCUCCCUUGGUGAUAUGUCAUUCCAUCAGUGAAAAAAUAUUUUCUCCCAGGGAUAAGAAAGGUAUUCUGGUAAUACAUUAUCAUCAAUCCUUAAACAGUAACAGUCUUGGCACUUAUCACAAAACCGACCCAUUUCUUAUAACCAGAAAGAUUAUCUUAGACUGUCCUUCACAUUAUACUUUACCUACUGCCUUGUAAGAAUAAGAGUUGCUCACUGUGUUUACUUGCUGUCCUCCAUAUUCUCCAUUGCACCAUUGGUGUAUAACGUUAAGAGUUUCAUUGAAUAUUAUUUUAAGUAUUACAAAAGGCAGCUUGCUUCUUAAUCUAUGCAUCUUUGGGGUUUUUGAAGAAAUUUAAUUCUUUGAUGUAA
rnacentral:lncRNA from 1 species